CUUUCCCCACCACCAUUCACCACUGUCAUCUCUAUAAAACCAUAAAUCAAUAUUAGAAACACAAAAUACAAAACCCAAUUUCUCUUAAACUUACCCAUAAAUCACAAAUUCAACUCCAGCGGCAACUGGCCUCUUUGGCUCAUCAAAUGCAAACUCAUCAAAAUGCAAGCAGUUCCUCACCUUCCCAAAAGCAUUUACAGAGCUAAUCAACAUUCGGGCAUUGUAAAAGGUGUUUUCCAAAUUGGUUUUCAAAAGUGAAAAAACUUUUUCCCUUGGUAUAACCACUUAGCAUAAAUCUGUUAGUUGAUUUAUGGUGAUUUGGAUCUGUGUUUCUUGUGGCUAAUUUGGAUCGUUGACGUGGAUCUAACGGCUGUGGCUUAAAGGCAUAUUUUAGACUCUUGAGCUGGCCCGUCUAAUUGAUUUUCGGGACUUUCAUUUAAAAAGUCUAAUC
rnacentral:lncRNA from 1 species